rnacentral:rRNA from 1 species
GACGAACGCUGGCGGCGUGCUUAACACAUGCAAGUCGAACGGAAAGGCCCUGCUUUUGUGGGGUGCUCGAGUGGCGAACGGGUGAGUAACACGUGAGUAACCUGCCCUUGACUUUGGGAUAACUUCAGGAAACUGGGGCUAAUACCGGAUAGGAGCUCCUGCUGCAUGGUGGGGGUUGGAAAGUUCCGGCGGUUGGGGAUGGACUCGCGGCUUAUCAGCUUGUUGGUGGGGUAGUGGCUUACCAAGGCUUUGACGGGUAGCCGGCCUGAGAGGGUGACCGGCCACAUUGGGACUGAGAUACGGCCCAGACUCCUACGGGAGGCAGCAGUGGGGAAUAUUGCACAAUGGGCGGAAGCCUGAUGCAGCAACGCCGCGUGCGGGAUGACGGCCUUCGGGUUGUAAACCGCUUCCGCCUGUGACGAAGCGUGAGUGACGGUAAUGGGUAAAGAAGCACCGGCUAACUACGUGCCAGCAGCCGCGGUGAUACGUAGGGUGCGAGCGUUGUCCGGAUUUAUUGGGCAUAAAGGGCUCGUAGGUGGUUGAUCGCGUCGGAAGUGUAAUCUUGGGGCUUAACCCUGAGCGUGCUUUCGAUACGGGUUGACUUGAGGAAGGUAGGGGAGAAUGGAAUUCCUGGUGGAGCGGUGGAAUGCGCAGAUAUCAGGAGGAACACCAGUGGCGAAGGCGGUUCUCUGGGCCUUUCCUGACGCUGAGGAGCGAAAGCGUGGGGAGCGAACAGGCUUAGAUACCCUGGUAGUCCACGCUGUAAACGGUGGGUACUAGGUGUGGGGUCCAUUCCACGGGUUCCGUGCCGUAGCUAACGCUUUAAGUACCCCGCCUGGGGAGUACGGCCGCAAGGCUAAAACUCAAAGGAAUUGACGGGGCCCCGCACAAGCGGCGGAGCAUGCGGAUUAAUUCGAUGCAACGCGUAGAACCUUACCUGGGUUUGACAUGGAUCGGGAGUGCUCAGAGAUGGGUGUGCCUCUUUUGGGGUCGGUUCACAGGUGGUGCAUGGCUGUCGUCAGCUCGUGUCGUGAGAUGUUGGGUUAAGUCCCGCAACGAGCGCAACCCUUGUUCACUGUUGCCAGCACGUUAUGGUGGGGACUCAGUGGAGACCGCCGGGGUCAACUCGGAGGAAGGUGGGGAUGACGUCAAGUCAUCAUGCCCCUUAUGUCCAGGGCUUCACGCAUGCUACAAUGGCUGGUACAGAGAGUGGCGAGCCUGUGAGGGUGAGCGAAUCUCGGAAAGCCGGUCUCAGUUCGGAUUGGGGUCUGCAACUCGACCUCAUGAAGUCGGAGUCGCUAGUAAUCGCAGAUCAGCAACGCUGCGGUGAAUACGUUCCCGGGGCU